GUUGAUUUUAGUCUCACUGACUUCAAGAAUGAACAGGCAGACCCUCAUAGUGACUGUUAUAGUUCUUAAAGAUGGUGUCCAGAAUUUGUUCCUUAAGAUGUUCAGAUGUGUCCAGAGUUUCUUCCUUCUGGUGGGUUCGUGGUCUUGCUUACUUCAGGAGUGAAGGCACAGACCGUUGCCGUGAGUGUUACAGCUUUUUUUUUUUUUUUUUUUGAGACAGAGCCUCGCUCUGUCACCCAGGCUGGAGUGCAGUGAUGCAAUCCCAGCUCACUGCAAGCUCCACCUCCCGGGUUCAUGCCAUUCUACUGCCUCAGCCUCCGAGUAGCUGGGACUACAGGCGCCUGCCACCACUCCUGGCUAAUUUUUCUUAUUUUUAGCAGAGACACGAUUUCACCAUGUUGGCCAGGAUGGUCUGGAUCUCCUGAACUUGUGAUCCGCCCACCUCAGCCCCCCCAAAAUGCAGGGAUUACAGGCGUGAGCCACCACACCCGGCCAGUGUUACAGCUCUUAAAGGUGGCGUGUCUGGAGUUAUUCAUUCCUCCCGGUAGGAUCGUGGUCUUGAUGGGUUCAUGGUCUCUGUGGCUUCAUGAGUGAAGCUGCACACCUUGGCAGUAUUACAGCUCACAAACAUAGCACAGUUCCCAACACUAAGCAGAAUCAAGAUUUAUUGUGAAGACCAAAAGAACACAGCUUCCACAAACUCGAAACAGACCCUACAGGGUUGCUGCAGUUGGGCCGGUGGCCAGCUUUUAUUCCCUUAUUUGGCCCCGCCCAUAUCCUGCUGAUUGGUCCAUUUUUACAGAGUGCUGAUUGGUCCAUUUUACAGAGUGCUGAUUUGUCCAUUUUUACAGAGUGCCGAUUGGUGCAUUUACAAAACUUAAGCUAGACACAGAGCACUGAUUGGUGUGUUUAUAAUCCUUUAGCAAGACAGAAAAGUUCUCCAAGUCCCCACCCGACCCAGAAGACCAGCUGGCUUCACCUCUCACUUCCAUGCUGCCAAGACCCCUAAGACUCCCAGAGCCUCCUUCCUCGGCUCCUCACUGCCCCUUCCCGCCCUACUCCAUGCCUCCAUGUUUUCCCCAGGACCCAAGGCCAGACUUCGCUCUGAGCUCCCUGACGCUUUGGGCUGAGGCCAGGCCCUGAUAUACCGGUACUGCAGGAAAAGAAAGGAAAAGAAUCCAGAAGGCUCCUCCUGGGCUUGCACAAAUUCCCCUCUGCUUGGUCUGAAGAGGCACGUACUAGGAGAGUGCACAGCUCAAUUGCUGGUCAUCCCAAGGAUUCUAUGUACUCAAUGCCAUAGAUGCUGGGGAUACAAAAACAAAUGGUACCAGGGAGACUGUUCAUUUUCUUCAACAAGCUGUGGUCCUAUAGAGGAAAAGGAAUAUUAUUCAUGAUCUGAAGAGGACAUGCCUAUGGGUUUGGGUAAGAGAGAAAAGAGAAAGGCAAGAUUGGAAGCAGGAAGAUCCGUGAGGAGUUGUUGCUUCAGUGGAGGGUGAAGAUGAGGACGCCUUGAACCAAGGAGGACCAGUGGAAACUGACGGGUGGCAUUUUGGAUGAGAUGAUCCAGAGGUAGAAUCCACAGGGCUUCAUCUGAAAUUGAGUCAAAAAAUGAAGUGAAUGAGAAGAAGUAGCCCAGUUAACUACUCUGUCCACUUUAUUUCUGGAUUGGACAUCCGAAAGAAGGGUAUUGGGUUUUUUUGUUUUGUUUUGUUUUGCCAUUUAAAAAAAAAAAACUCUUAGAUAUGCAGAAAAGUUUCAAAUAUAGUACAGAGCAUUCCCAUCUAUCCCACACCCAGAUUUGUCUGUUCCAUCUAAUGAACCAAUAUUGAUGCAUUAUCUUUAACUCAAGUCUAUACCUUGUUCAGAUUUCCUUAGUUUUUGCCCAGUGUCCUUUUUCUGUUUCAGUAUUGCAUUCAGGAUUCAUGACCUUUAGUUGUCACAUCUCUUUAGGCUCCUCUUGGCUGUGAUGGUUUCUCAGACUUGAAAAGUACCAAUCACACAUUUGUUUAUUUUUCCUUUCAGGUCUAUCAUUUUUUGCUUCAUGUGUUAUGGUGCUCUAUUGUUUGAACAUUAAACAUUUAGGAUUGCUAUGUCUUCUUGGUUGAUUUACUAUAUAAUAUCCCUCCUGUCUCUAGUAAUUUUCUUAGCUUUGAAAUCUAUCUGAUCUUAAUAUAGCUUCUCCUGCUUUGUUUAAUGUUUGCCUGCUAUAUGGUUUCCGUCCUUUUAUUUUCAGCCCAUCUACAGUGUUAUGUUGAAGGCAAGUUUUCUGUAAAUAGCAUAUAGUUGAGUAGUGCUUUGUAAUCCACUAUGCCAGUAUCUGUCUUUUAAUUGAUAUAUUUAGACCCAUUUGUAUUUCAUGAAGUGG
rnacentral:lncRNA from 10 species